UUCCAAACCUUUGUCCACCAAACCUGCAUGAGCACAAGCAAGUAGUACGCCAACAAAAGUACCAUGAGUUGGCUUACAACCUUCUCCUAACAUCUGCGAGAAGAGCUGAAUAGCAUUAUCAUGAAAGCCAUUCACUGCAAGGCCAGAGAUCAUUGAAGUCCAAGAAACAGUAUCCUUUUUGCUCAUGCUCAAAAACACUUCCAAGGCUGUAUUAACG
rnacentral:misc_RNA from 1 species